AGCAGCCGCGGUAAUUCCAGCUCCAAUAGCGUAUAUUAAAGUUGUUGCAGUUAAAAAGCUCGUAGUUGAAUUUCGGGGUUAGCAGGUCGGUCGUGCCAUCGGUAUGAACUGGUCUCGCUGAUCCCUCCCUCUUGAAGAACUGUGAUGCCAUUAAUUUGGUGUCGCAGGGAAUCAGGACUGUUACUUUAGAAAAAUUAGAGUGUUUAAAGCAGGCUCACGCUUGAAUACAUUAGCAUGGAAUAAUGAAAUAGGACGUUUGAUUCUAUUUUGUUGGUUUCUAGGAUUGACGUAAUGAUUAAUAGGGAUAGUUGGGGGCAUUAGUAUUCAAUUGUCAGAGGUGAAAUUCUUGGAUUUAUUGAAGACUAACUACUGCGAAAGCAUUUGCCAAGGAUGUUUUCAUUAAUCAAGAACGAAAGUUAGGGGAUCGAAGACGAUCAGAUACCGUCGUAGUCUUAACCAUAAACUAUGCCGACUAGGGAUCGGAUGAUGUUUAAUUUUUUAAUGUACUCAUUCGGUACCG
rnacentral:rRNA from 1 species